rfam:Brachypodium distachyon strain Bd21 chromosome 2, whole genome shotgun sequence.
UUGUUACUCCCUCCGUCCCAUAUUAAGUGACUUUCUAUUACAUGUAUCUAGAUGUCUUUUAGGCAUAGAUACAUCCAUAUUUGGACAAAUUUUAGUCACUUAAUAUGGGACGGAGGGAGUAUAAG